rnacentral:ncRNA from 1 species
UGACACGGGGUGCCCCAAGCACGCAGUGCUUCGGGCUGAGAUGACACCCGUCGAACCUGAUCCAGGUAGAGCUGGCGUAGGGAUGUCC